AACGAACGCUGGCGGCAUGCCUUACACAUGCAAGUCGAGCGGCAGCGCGGGGGCAACCCUGGCGGCGAGCGGCGAACGGGUGAGUAAUACAUCGGAACGUGUCCUGUCGUGGGGGAUAACCAGUCGAAAGAUUGGCUAAUACCGCAUGACCUCGUAAGAGAAAAGCGGGGGAUCGCAAGACCUCGCGCGAUUGGAGCGGCCGAUGUCGGAUUAGCUAGUUGGCGGGGUAAAAGCCCACCAAGGCGACGAUCCGUAGCUGGUUUGAGAGAACGACCAGCCACACUGGGACUGAGACACGGCCCAGACUCCUACGGGAGGCAGCAGUGGGGAAUUUUGGACAAUGGGGGCAACCCUGAUCCAGCCAUGCCGCGUGUGUGAAGAAGGCCUUCGGGUUGUAAAGCACUUUCGGCCGGAACGAAAUCGCGCGGGCUAAUACCCAGCGUGGAUGACGGUACCGGAAGAAGAAGCACCGGCUAACUACGUGCCAGCCGCCGCGGUAAAAC
rnacentral:rRNA from 1 species